rnacentral:rRNA from 1 species
AGGAUGAACGCUGGCGGCGUGCCUAAUACAUGCAAGUCGAGCGGUAGGGCCCCUUCGGGGGUACACGAGCGGCGGACGGCUGAGUAACACGUAGGAACGUACCCCAAAGUGAGGGAUAAGCACCAGAAAUGGUGUCUAAUACCGCAUGUGCUCUUCGGAGGAAAGCUUCGGCGCUUUGGGAACGGCCUGCGCAUGAUUAGCUUGUUGGUGAGGUAAUGGCUCACCAAGGCGACGAUCAUUAGCUGGUCUGAGAGGAUGAUCAGCCAGACUGGGACUGAGAACGGCCCAGACUCCUACGGGAGGCAGCAGUAGGGAAUUUUCCACAAUGGGCGAAAGCCUGAUGGAGCAACGCCGCGUGCAGGAUGAAUGCCUUCGGGUUGUAAACUGCUUUUAUAUGUGACGAAUAUGACGGUAGCAUAUGAAUAAGGAUCGGCUAACUCCGUGCCAGCAGCCGC